rnacentral:tRNA from 1 species
GCGCCGUUAGCUGAGCUGGUUUAGCACCGGACUCUUAAUCCGAGGACGCAGGUUCGAGCCCUGCACGGCGCAC